rfam:Schistosoma rodhaini strain Burundi genome assembly, scaffold: SROB_scaffold0002056
AUCCAGCUGAUGAGUUCAAAAUAGGACGAAACGCAUAUCAAACUGGAU